GGAAUUUUCUAAUUAAUGUGUGAGUUUUCCCUCAUUCUUUGCCAACCUUCUCCAAUUCGCCUCUCUAAUCUUCACCAUCGACCUCCCCUGAGUCAAUUCAAAAUUUUCAGAUCAUGUUUUAGGAUUUACCUCAGCCGUCGCUCCUUGUCCAGAAUCGCCGCAAAUGAUUGCACUAAGGUCACCGCAAUUGCCUACCCUCCUUUUGAUUAUUAUCCAAAAUUUGAACAAUUUUUGCUUUGUUUUGUUCAUCUGUGAUCUCGCAAGAUGCGUUCAUAGCAAUAUGGUCGAUUCUGCUCUUGGUGGUUUGACGUCAGGCGACAAAAAUUUUGGUGGGCGAUGACGACUUCUGGUAGGAACUCCAUAGCAAAUUUUCUGGACAAUGUUUUUCUGCAACCAGAACAUUCAUAUGCGAAUUCUGCACCUUCAGAUUGAUUUAUGAAGAUUUUAUGGAAUUUUUAGAAUCCGGCGACACUCUGGUCGCCAGAACGCCGCCUGCCACCACGAUGGCACCGACGUAGCACCACCUGACUCAUCCGUCUUGAAUGCAUGAACGAAUGUAUGAUUUUCAGCGAUUUGAGCGAAUUGGAUUUAGUUAGGGUUUGAGUUUCCGUCCUCAAAUCGAGGGAAUAAAGGCAGAUUUUGGGUUUAUUUUGAUGAAAUUGAAUUAAAGUUAUGAAA